rnacentral:rRNA from 1 species
GACGAACGCUGGCGGCGCGCUUAACACAUGCAAGUCGAGCGAAGCGGCGGACGGGUGAGUAACACGUGAGUAACCUGCCUUAGACAUUGGGAUAGCCUCGGGAAACCGGGAUUAAUACCAAAUGGUCUAAGAUGGACUCGCGUCCCAUUAGCUAGUUGGUGGGUAACGGCCCACCAAGGGGACGAUGGGUAGCCGGCAUGAGAGGGUGAGCGGCCACAUUGGAGCUGGGAAGCGGUCGAGAUUCUACGGGAGACGGCAGUGGGGAAUGUUGCACAAUGGAGUGAACUCUGAUGCAGUGAGGCCGCGUGAACGAAGAAGGCUUUCGAGUCGUAAAGUUCUUUUAUAUGGGAAGCGGUACCAGAAGAAAAAGCCCCGGCUAACUACGUGCCAGCAGCCGCGGUAAUAC